GCCAGACUCCUACGGGAGGCAGCAGUGAGGAAUAUUGGUCAAUGGGCUUACGCCUGAACCAGCCAAGUCGCGUGAGGGAAGACUGCCCUAUGGGUUGUAAACCUCUUUUGUCAGGGAGCAACGCCGGCUACGUGUAGCCGGACUGAGAGUGCCUGAAGAAAAAGCAUCGGCUAACUCCGUGCCAGCAGCCGCGGUAAUACGGAGGAUGCGAGCGUUAUCCGGAUUUAUUGGGUUUAAAGGGUGCGUAGGCGGAAUGCCAAGUCAGCGGUAAAAUCGCGGGGCUCAACCUCGCUCCGCCGUUGAAACUGGCAGUCUCGAGUUGGAGAGAAGUAUGCGGAAUGCGCGGUGUAGCGGUGAAAUGCAUAGAUAUCGCGCAGAACUCCGAUUGCGAAGGCAGCAUACCGGCGCUCAACUGACGCUCAUGCACGAAAGCGUGGGUAUCGAACAGGAUUAGAUACCCGCGUAA
rnacentral:rRNA from 1 species